CGGAGAAAAUCCAAUAUGUCUGCGCCCAUGAUGAAUAGAAAAUGUGUUUUAAGUCUUUUCAUAUCCAGCUUGAGACAAUUACAGGAAGUGAGUUUAUCGAAGCCAUAUUUAAACACAAUACGACUCAGAUUACCUCAAAAUAUUUACGUCAGAAAUUCGUUGGAAAAUCCCUUCAUCAAACAAUUUAACACCACAGCAAGCAAUAGUUUAAAUAUCAAAUAUAAAUUUAGAAAACCAGUGAAGCACGAUCCAUUAGAAACUGUGCAGCUUUUUGAUUCUUCUGACAAACUGAUAUGUAAAUUAACACUGAGUGAUGCCCAAAAGAAGGCAAAGAAGGAAAACAUGAAACUUUUAGAUAUUGGCAGAAACCCAGAUGGUGUUCUUUCAUUUCAAUAUUUGAGUGGAAAAGACCUGUACCAGGAAGGAAUGAAACUGAGAAAAAUUAAAAAAGGUUCUAAAGAAAAAGAAAUGAAGGUAGUGGAUAUAUUGUGGAAAAUAGAAGAUCAUGAUCUAAAUAGAAAACUGGACAAUGCUGUGGAAAGUCUAAAAAAAGGUCAUCCGGUAAAGUUUAAUAUUAAAGGAAAAGUCCGACUUGCAGAGGAAGCUAAACAUAAAUUACUUCUAAAUGAAUUAAAAAAGAAAGUAAAAAAUAAAAUUGAAACUCUUGCAUUAAUAGACGAGGCCGCAAGCGAAGGCAUAACAUUUAGACUUGUGGCUAGGCCCAUUGAAGAAGUUAGCCCAGAGGGAGUUAGUCCAGAGGAAGUUAGUCCAGAAGAAGAAAAGUAGA